rnacentral:misc_RNA from 1 species
GUGAAUCAUCGAAUCUUUGAACGCAAAUUGCACUCUCUUCGGAGAGUAUGCCUGUCUGAGGGUCAGCCUAAAAAAAAUCGACAUAGUCGCUGUUUCGCGGUGACAUUCGUCGGAAAUUGGGUCAUCUUAAAUCUUUGGGUUUUAUGCGGCUUAAAAUUUUCUUUACGAUUCUCCGUACGUGUCUAUGAUUUACUUCUUAUUCGUUUUAGG